rnacentral:misc_RNA from 1 species
GAUGAAGAACGCAGCGAAAUGCGAUAAGUAAUGCGAAUUGCAGAAUUUCCGUGAGUCAUCGAAUCUUUGAACGCACAUUGCGCCCGCCAGUAUUCUGGCGGGCAUGCCUGUCUGAGCGUCAUUUCAACCCUCAAGCAACUUCUGCUUGGUGUUGGGGAUCGGCCGUCAAACGCCGCCCCCGAAAUCUAUUGGCGAUCUCGCUGUAGCUUCCUAUGCGUAGUAGUAACAUCUCGCAUCUGGAGAGCGGCGCGGUCAUGCCGUAAAACACCCAACUUCUCAGGUUGACCUCAGAUCAGGUAGGAAUACCCGCUGAACUUAAGCAUAUCAAUAAGCGGAGGA